AUUGAACGCUGGCGGCAGGCCUAACACAUGCAAGUCGAACGGUAACAGGAAGAAGCUUGCUUCUUUGCUGACGAGUGGCGGACGGGUGAGUAAUGUCUGGGAAACUGCCUGAUGGAGGGGGAUAACUACUGGAAACGGUAGCUAAUACCGCAUAAUGUCGCAAGACCAAAGAGGGGGACCUUCGGGCCUCUUGCCAUCGGAUGUGCCCAGAUGGGAUUAGCUAGUAGGUGGGGUAACGGCUCACCUAGGCGAGGAGCCCUAGCUGGUCUGAGAGGCUGAUCAGCCACACUGGAACUGAGACACGGUCCAGACUCCUACGGGAGGCAGCAGUGGGGAAUAUUGCACUAAUGGCGCAAGCCUGAUGCAGCUAUGCCGCGUGUAUGAAGAAGGGCUUCGGGUUGUAAAGUACUUUUAGCGGGGAGGAAGGGAGUAAAGUUAAUACCUUUGCUCAUCGACGUUACCCGCAGAAGAAGCACCGGCUAACUCCGUG
rnacentral:rRNA from 1 species